UCGAGACUCGUGUUAUUCCGAUGGACAACCACAACAACGACAACUUUUGAAUUUGAUAAUAUCCAUUUUGCAAUUUCUUGAAGACAUGCCACACGAUUUGAUGGAAGAAUGUAAGAAUGUAAUUACAUAUGAAUAUAUGAGAAGAAAGAUUGAUUAUAAAUCGAUACAUAAUGAUCAAAAAUUUUCAUUAGAAAUAUCUAAAAUAUUAGUAGUUUAUGCACAAAAAAUUGUAACAAAUAUUUAAAUAUAUAUGCAGCCAUCGAUCAUAGAAUAAUAAGCGUAGAAAUCGUUAACAUUGUAAAACUAAUUUUUUAACCAAUACUCAUAACAAUAAUGUAUUGUAACAUUAGUAUUAUUAAUAAAUAAAUUAACAUUA